CUCCCCUUUCCGUGGAGAGACUAUCAACUCCAUCUGUCACAAAAAUUAAGGCUAAAUCUCCUCUCCAGAAGCAGAGGGAGCCGGGGCUCCGACGCGCUCAGCGUCGGGCUGUCUGCCUCUCCCUAGAGGCCAAGUGAAUUUGAAAUGGCAAAAGUCACAGCCGGAGGCCCAGCACUAGGAGAUUCCUCCGGCUGCGGGAAAUCUUCCUGUACCUGCUGAAGCUGCUGCGUUCCUCAGAGGCGCUUGGUCUGCCGUGGGAAGCUGCACCUCUGCAGUCCCCAAAACCAAAAUCAAACCUUAAAAGAGCCAGACUGAGAAGCCAGUCACCACGUAAGACAUCUGGACCACCUUCAGACUCGCAUGCUGUGAGGAAGCCCAUGCUUACUAUGUGUAGAGGAUACAUGGAGAAGGAAAGAGAUGCCUGGCCAGCUCCCUGCUGUUUCAGCCAUGUGAGUGAAGAAGGCACCAGACUUGUGAGUGGAGACACUAACUUGGAUGUCCAGCCCAGCUGAACCUUCAGGCAGAGGUGCUGAGCAGCUAAUUGGAGGGGAUAGUAUGAGCCUCCAAAGAUUAGGGAAGAAAAUUGCAGUUGAAGAAAACUUGCUUUGGUUCAAUGCAAAAAUAAUGGGAUGAAUGGCAUGCUGAAAUAUCAUAUGACUUACGAAAAUGAUGAAUGGUUUAUUGAAUCUACAUAUGUGGAACCCAUGAAUGGGAGUCGGAGAAGGGGGCAACUGUAUACGCAAAAAGCUAUCAUAAUUGCCAAAAUAGUGAUAACAAUGUUGAAACACUACUGGGAUUACUACUGUUAAUGACUACCAGUGAUCAAGCACCUCCCCUGCCCCAGUGUUUGCCUGCCUUGUUUGAAGACACGAAAAAAUGUACACAAAAUGAUUUAGAACUGUUGAACUUUUCAGAAAAUAAUUUAAAAUCAUCUACCUCAUAACUAAAGGACACUGAAUUGGAGCCAGCUGAUAUGAAGAAACUGAGACCCCAAGAAUUUAAGUAAUUUGUUCAAGGCAACACACUGCUAUGUGGUAGAACUACAAAUUGAGCCCAAAUAAUCCAGCUUCAGAUACUAUGCAAAGGUAUCCUAGGUGUGGGGGUGAUAACCUGGUGACAAUCCCUUCUCAGAAGGAAAACAGGUCCCAUCUACAGAGGUGAAGCAGAGUGUGGAACUGAAAAACUCAAUGGAAGAAUGGCUAUUAAGAUUUAGGACGGCUGGGAAAUAAUAAAGUAAUAAUAAUAAUACUAGGUAUUGACGUGUGCUACAUGCCAGGCCUUGGGUGACAUUUGGAUUGAUUCCCAUUUUCUUUACUUUUCAGCAGUGGGGUCUUUCACCUUUCAAGCUCUGCCUGAGAAGUCAACAUGGUGGCAUUUGGCUAGGUUCUUUUAGGCAACCAAUUGUUUUAACAUGAUUUGUUGAAAAGCCUAUUCUCUCUUUCAUUGAACUAUAAUGCUAGCUCUGUCAUAAAUCAAAUUUUCAUUUGAUUUAUGAUAUGAAAAUUAUAUGCAUUUGAUUGAUAUGCAUUUUUUCUCCAAUGAUACUCAACUGUCUUAAUUAUAUAAUUUUGUAGUAAUUCUUGGUAUCUAAUUAGGCAAAUACCCACUCCCAACCCUGUUUCUUUUGUUUUUAAAUCCAGGGGUGUUUUGGAUAUUCUCGUUCAUUUGUGCUUCCACCUACAUUUUUCAGUUAACUUGUCAGGUACGAAAAAAUAAAAGGCAAAAUUUUUUAUCCUUAAAUCAAUUUGGGCAAGUUUGCAGUUUUUUCUUGUAUUGUAACUUCCAAUCUAUGAAUAUGAUCUAUUUUUUCACCAAUUUAUGGCUUCUUCCAAUAACAUUUUAUAAUUGUCUUUUUAGAGGCCUUAUCUUUUGUUUAGAUUCAUAUCUAGGUAUUUAAUAUUUUUGAUGCUGUUAUAAAUGGUAUUUUUAAAAAUAUAUACAUUUUUAACUAUUUCACAUAGAAAACUUUAAUGGAUUUUUAAAAUGUAGAUUUGUAUUCAGUAAACCUGUUAAAAUCUCUUAGAAUGUCUAAGAGUUUAUUUAUUCAAUUUGAUUUUCUUUUUUUUUUUUUCUCCUGGAGACGGAGUUUCGCUCUUGUUGCCCAGGCUGGAGUGCAGUGGCAUGAUCUCAGCUCACUGCAACCUCCGGCUCCCGGGUUCAAGCAAUUCUCCUGUCUCAGCCUCCUGAGUAGCUGGGAUUACAGGCUCCCACCACCAUGCCCAGCUAAUUUUUGGUAUUUUUAGUAGAGACAGAGUUUCACCAUGUUGGCCAGGCUGGUCUCAAACUCCUGACCUCAGGUGAUCCGACUGCUUUGGCUUCCCAAACUGCUGGCAUUACAGGCGUGAGCCACUGCGCCCUGGCCUAUUCUACUGGAUUUUCUAUGCAAUUGUGUUAUAACUCAUCAUAAAGAUAAUUUUAUUUCUUUUCCACAAUCUUUACAGGUUUAAUUUUUUUCUAUGCCUUGCUGCACUCUCUAUGAUUUCCAGUAUUGGCACUACUCUGGCCUUUGGUCUUUGCUCUUGCAUCAGCCUUUCAUAAUUGGGUAUGUUUGUUGUAAGUUUUCUGUAGAGAGUCUUUAUGAGGUUAAGAGAUUUGUUUCAUUUCUAGUUUAUUAAGAGAUUUUAUUAUAGAUCAAUGUUAAAUUUUAUCAAAAUUUCUCCAUUGCAUUUCUAUUGAGAUGAUCACAUGAUUAUUAAAAAUUAGUAUAAAGAUUUAUUAUUUUGAUAUUUUAAAAUCAGGUUUAUUGAGGCAUAAUUUAUAUAUAAUAAAAUUUACCCUAUUAGAGUAUCCAGUCCAGUAAGUUUUGGUAAAUGUAUGCGAAUAACACAAUAAACAGGUUUAGAACUUUUCCAUCACCACAAAAAGUUUAUCAGGCCCCUUUGCAGUUAAUACUCACCUUCUCUCCAGCCCCAGUAAACCAUGGAUCUGCUUUUUGUUACUGUAGUUUUUCCUUUACUUUGAUUUUUUUGAGUGUUAAGCCAGCCUUACAUUUCUGAGUUAACUUGGUCAUGAUAUCUUCUACAAACAUUAAUGAAUUUAGUAUGAUUGGCUGAUGCCUUUGCUUUCCUAUACUGUCCUUGCCUGGUUGGUACAAGGAUUAUAUAAUACUUAUAAAGUGAGUUGAAGACAGUUUCCUCUUUUCACCAGCUGGAAUAAUUUAUGUAUUAUUGAAAUUAAUUGCUCCUUAAAUACUUGGCAGAAUUCACUACAAAGGCACUUAAUUCUAGACCUUUUGGAGGAAGAUAAAAUACUGAUUUUUUAAAUCAUUAUUUUAUUUUUGUAAUACAGCUUAUUUUUCCAGAAACUUCUACUUUUCGUUUACAUCUUCAAGUCAGAUUAAAGUUGUAUUAAUAACCCCUUAUUAUUUAAAUCUCAGCAGAAUGUGAAGUUAUGUUCCCCCUUUGUAUCCAUUUUUUUCUCUAGAUAUUUUUCUGUUACCUGUUUUAAAUUUAAUUCCAUUGUGGUCAGAGAUAAUACUUUGUAUGACUUGCAUUCUUUUAUGUAUAUUGAGACUUGUUAUAAGGCACAGAGUAUGGUUUAUCUUGGUAAUCAUUCGUGGCACACUUAAAAAUCAUGUGUUUUCUGCUAUUGUUGAGUGGGAUGUUCUGUAACUGUGAAUUAGGUCAAGUUAGUUGACAGUGUUGUUCAAGUCUUUUAUAUUAUUACUGACUUUCUUUCUACUCACUCUAUCAAUUAGUGAAAGGUGUCAAUAUUUCCAGUUAUAAUCAUGGAUUUGUCUAUUAUUACUUUCAGUUAGAAAUUUCUAGCUGAAAUUAUCUAUUUCUACUUUCAGUUAGUGUUAGCUUGCUAUAUCUUUUUUCCAUCCUUCUUCUUUUAACCCAAUGUAUCUUUAUAUUGACAUUACAUAUAUGAUUUAUAUUAUAUUAUGUUACUAUAUCUUGUAUGCAGCAUAUAUUUGGAUCUUUUUUAUCCAAUCUGAUGAUCUUUGCUUUUUAAUUAAUGUAUUUAGAUCAUUUACAUUUACUGUGAUUAUUAAUAUGUAUUAAGUUCAAAUCUACCACUUUGGUAUUGAAUAUCUAAUUGUCCCAUUUGUUCUUUGUUUCAAAAAAACUCUUUUUUUGCCUUUUUUUAUAUCAAGUAUUUUAAAAUUCUAUUUCAUCUUCUUUGUUUGCUUAUUAGCUAUAACUUUAUUUUGCUAAUUUAGUGGUUGCUUUAGGGUUUAUAGUAAACAUCUUCAACUUAUCACAUUCUAUGUUCUAGUCAUAUUAUAUUAUUUAACACAUAGUAUAAAAACUUUAUUGUAGUAUACUUUCAUUUUCCUCCAGUAAUUGUGCGAUUCUUGUCAUCUAUUUUGCUUCUACAUGUUAUAAACUCUACAUGAUUUUGUAAUAUUUUUGUUUAAACAAUAUUUAUUUAGACUUAAUAAUAAAUAAUAAAAAUAUAUGCUAAC
rnacentral:lncRNA from 10 species